AUUGAACGCUGGCGGCAGGCCUAACACAUGCAAGUCGAGCGGAUGAAGGGAGCUUGCUCCUGGAUUCAGCGGCGGAGGGGUGAGUAAUGCCUAGGAAUCUGCCUGGUAGUGGGGGAUAACGUCCGGAAACGGGCGCUAAUACCGCAUACGUCCUGAGGGAGAAAGUGGGGGAUCUUCGGACCUCACGCUAUUAGAUGAGCCUAGGUCGGAUUAGCUAGUUGGUGGGGUAAAGGCCUACCAAGGCGACGAUCCGUAACUGGUCUGAGAGGAUGAUCAGUCACACUGGAACUGAGACACGGUCCAGACUCCUACGGGAGGCAGCAGUGGGGAAUAUUGGACAAUGGGCGAAAGCCUGAUCCAGCCAUGCCGCGUGUGUGAAGAAGGUCUUCGGAUUGUAAAGCACUUUAAGUUGGGAGGAAGGGCAGUAAGUUAAUACCUUGCUGUUUUGACGUUACCAACAGAAUAAGCACCGGCUAACUUCGUG
rnacentral:rRNA from 1 species